UACAGCCACAUCACAAUGAAACACUAGAUCAUGUACAAUCACUGUGGUUAAACAAUGUUGAGCCUGAUCAGUACUUAGAGGGGUGACCACUUGGGAAUACCUGGUACCGUAAG